rnacentral:rRNA from 1 species
GUUGGCGGGGUAACGGCCCACCAAGGCUACGAUCGGUAGGCGACGUGAGAGGGUGACCGCCGUCACUGGGACUGAGAUACGGCCCAGACUCCUACGGGAGGCAGCAGUCGAGAAGCUUCGGCAAUGGGCGAAAGCCUGACCGAGCGACGCCGCGUGAGCGAUGAAGGCCCUAGUGGUCGUAAAGCUCUGUCAGAUUGGGAACAAAUCCCGGGGGCGAACAACCCCCGGUGCUGAGGGUACCGUCAGAGGAAGCACCGGCUAACUCCGUGCCAGCAGCCGCGGUAAUACGGAGGGUGCGAGCGUUGUUCGGAUUCACUGGGUAUAAAGAGUUCGUAGGCGGCCCCGUAAGUCAGAGGUGAAAGCUGUCGGCUCAACCGACAAAUUGCCUUUGAAACUGCAGGGCUUGAGUCCGGGAGAGGAAGGUGGAAUUCCUGGUGUAGCGGUGAAAUGCGUAAAUAUCAGGAGGAACACCGGUGGCGAAGGCGGCCUUCUGGCCCGGCACUGACGCUGAGGAACGAAAGCCAGGGGAGCGAACGGGAUUAGAUACCCCGGUAGUCCUGGCCGUAAACUAUGGGCACUAGGUGUUGGAGGAGUCUACCCCUUCAGUGCCGCAGCUAAUGCAUUAAGUGCCCC